rnacentral:rRNA from 1 species
UACGUAGGGUGCGAGCGUUGUCCGGAAUUAUUGGGCGUAAAGAGCUUGUAGGCGGUUUGUCGCGUCUGCUGUGGAAUUUCGGGGCUCAACCCCGAACUUGCAGUGGGUACGGGCAGACUAGAGUGUGGUAGGGGAGACUGGAAUUCCUGGUGUAGCGGUGAAAUGCGCAGAUAUCAGGAGGAACACCGAUGGCGAAGGCAGGUCUCUGGGCCAUAACUGACGCUGAGAAGCGAAAGCAUGGGGAGCGAACAGG